AUCGAUGAAGAACGCAGCGAAAUGCGAUAAGCAAUGCGAAUUGCAGAAUUCCAGUGAGUCAUCGAAUCUUUGAACGCACAUUGCGCCUUUGGUAUUCCGAAGGGCAUGCCUGUUCGAGCGUCAUUAUCACCCCUCAAGCCCUCGGCUUGGUGUUGGACG
rnacentral:rRNA from 1 species